rnacentral:rRNA from 1 species
GAUGAACGCUGGCGGCGUGCCUAAUACAUGCAAGUCGAGCGAACAGACGAGGAGCUUGCUCCUCUGAUGUUAGCGGCGGACGGGUGAGUAACACGUGGAUAACCUACCUAUAAGACUGGGAUAACUUCGGGAAACCGGAGCUAAUACCGGAUAACAUGUUGAACCGCAUGGUUCAACAGUGAAAGACGGUCUUGCUGUCACUUAUAGAGGGAUCCGGGCCGCAUGAGCUAGUUGGUAAGGUAACGGCCUACCGAGGCAACGAUGCGUAGCCGACCUGAGAGGGUGAUCGGCCACACUGGAACUGAGACACGGUCCAGACGCCUACGGGAGGCAGCAGUAGGGAAUCGUCCGCAGUGGGCGAAAGCCUGACGGAGCAACGCCGAGUGAGUGAAGAAGGUCUUCGGAUCGUAAAACUCUGUUAUUAGGGAAGAACAAAUGUGUAAGUAACUAUGCACGUCUUGACGGUACCUAAUCAGAAAGCCACGGCUAACUACGUG